GAUGAAGAACGUAGCGAAAUGCGAUAAGUAAUGUGAAUUGCAGAAUUCAGUGAAUCAUCGAAUCUUUGAACGCACAUUGCGCCCGCCAGUAUUCUGGCGGGCAUGCCUGUCUGAGCGUCAUUUCAACCCUCAUGCCCCUAGGGCGUGGUGUUGGGGAUCGGCCAAAGCCCGCGAGGGACGGCCGGCCCCUAAAUCUAGUGGCGGACCCGUCGUGGCCUCCUCUGCGAAGUAGUGAUAUUCCGCAUCGGAGAGCGACGAGCCCCUGCCGUUAAACCCCCAACUUUCCUAGGUUGACCUCAGAUCAGGUAGGAAUACCCGCUGAACUUAAGCAUAUCAAUAAGCGGAGGA
rnacentral:misc_RNA from 1 species